CUCAGACAUCAGUGCUUUCAAAAGCUCCACAGUUUAGCCAUUCCUGUUAUUCUCUGCUGUGCCUUACCCUAAUCUGCUAAUUGGAAUGGAUUACGGAAAGAAAAAAGUAUAAAGAGAAAAAUGAAACAACAGAAGGAAAGGUGCAAAUCGAGAAACUGGAAGGGCUUAUCUGGCACAAUCACAUGGAUCUACCGUAAGAGCUUGAUCAGCCAUUCUGAUGUCUGCACACACUGGGAACAGAUAGGGUGUUAACAUUUCCUGGAACAAUGCUUUACCAAUGGGCAGGAACUAGUAGGUAAGUAUUCUCUUUUUUCCAAUCUCAGAGAUUUCUAAGGCACAUUCCAUACAGCUGUUG
rnacentral:lncRNA from 1 species